GACGAACGCUGGCGGCGCGCUUAACACAUGCAAGUCGAGCGAGAACCAUGGCUUCGGCCAUGGGGGCAGCGGCGAACGGGUGAGUAACACGUGGGUAAUCUGCCCUCGGCACUGGGAUAGCCCGGGGAAACCCGGAUUAAUACCGGAUAGCCUUUCGAGCUCUUGGGCUCGUCCGAAAAGGUAGCUUCGGCCUCCGGCCGAGGAGGAGCCCGCGGCGGAUUAGCUUGUUGGGGAGGUAAAGGCUCACCAAGGCGACGAUCCGGAGCUGGUGUGAGAGCAUGACCAGCCACACUGGGACUGAGACACGGCCCAGACUCCUACGGGAGGCAGCAGUGGGGAAUCUUGCGCAAUGGGCGAAAGCCUGACGCAGCGACGCCGCGUGCGGGAAGAAGGCCUUCGGGUUGUAAACCGCUUUCAGGAGGGACGAAGCCACUCGGGUGAAUAGCCCAGAGGGUGACGGUGCCUCCAGAAGAAGCCCCGGCUAACUACGUGCCAGCCGCCGCAGUAACAC
rnacentral:rRNA from 1 species